GGUAUUUCACCACCUUUCGAUUGGGGGAACUACAGGUGCAUGACGUGUAUCGUACGGCGGUUUUUUAACGCGGGAUUUGCACGGUUGUCCACUGCAGCUGGGUGCUGUGGGUGGCCUUCCCGGCGGCCUUGGGGCCCUUGGAGGCCUUGGAGGCCUUGCCAGCAUGGGGGCUCCGGCAGCUGGCGGUGCCGCGGCUGGUGGCGACGACGACGGUAGGCAUGCUUUGGGGUCUCGUGGCCACGACUAUACAUGUCCUGCGUUCUUUCGCUGGCUUGGGCGCCAUGACUUCGGGCAUGGGCUUCCCAUUUGGGGCUCUGGGCGUACAACUGGUACUCAUAUGUUCUCUGAACCCCAGUCCCUUUCUUUGUGCAGACGUGCCGGACCUUGUGGAGAACUUCGACACCGCCGCAUAAUGGCCGGGACACCGCGUUUGGUGCGGAUGGCUUGCCGCUAUGUCGGUG
rnacentral:lncRNA from 1 species